rnacentral:rRNA from 1 species
GGCUUUACCAUGGCAAGUCGAGGGGCAGCAUGACCUAGCAAUAGGUUGAUGGCGACCGGCGCACGGGUGAGUAACACGUAUCCAACCUACCGGUUAUUCCGGGAUAGCCUUUCGAAAGAAAGAUUAAUACCGGAUAGUAUAGCGAGAAGGCAUCUUCUUGCUAUUAAAGAAUUUCGAUAACCGAUGGGGAUGCGUUCCAUUAGUUUGUUGGCGGGGUAACGGCCCACCAAGACAUCGAUGGAUAGGGGUUCUGAGAGGAAGGUCCCCCACAUUGGAACUGAGACACGGUCCAAACUCCUACGGGAGGCAGCAGUGAGGAAUAUUGGUCAAUGGACGAGAGUCUGAACCAGCCAAGUAGCGUGAAGGAUGACUGCCCUAUGGGUUGUAAACUUCUUUUAUAUGGGAAUAAAGUGAGCCACGUGUGGCUUUUUGUAUGUACCAUACGAAUAAGGAUCGGCUAACUCCGUGCCAGCAGCCGCGGUAAUACGGAGGAUCCGAGCGUUAUCCGGAUUUAUUGGGUUUAAAGGGAGCGUAGGCGGACUAUUAAGUCAGCUGUGAAAGUUUGCGGCUCAACCGUAAAAUUGCAGUUGAUACUGGUCGUCUUGAGUGCAGUAGAGGUAGGCGGAAUUCGUGGUGUAGCGGUGAAAUGCUUAGAUAUCACGAAGAACUCCGAUUGCGAAGGCAGCUUACUGGACUGUAACUGACGCUGAUGCUCGAAAGUGUGGGUAUCAAACAGGAUUAAAUACCCUGGUAGUCCACACAGUAAACGAUGAAUACUCGCUGUUUGCGAUAUACGGCAAGCGGGCCAGCGAAAGCAUUAAGUAUUCCACUGGGGGAGUACGCCGGCAACGGGGAAACUCAAAGGGAUUGAACGGGGGCCCGCACAAGCGGAGGA